rnacentral:rRNA from 1 species
GCGAACGCUGGCGGCAGGCCUAAUACAUGCAAGUCGAACGGCUCUUCGGAGCAGUGGCGGACGGGUGAGUAACGCGUGGGAAUGUGCCCUUUGGUACGGAACAACUGAGGGAAACUUCAGCUAAUACCGUAUGUGCCCUUCGGGGGAAAGAUUUAUUGCCAUUGGAGCAGCCCGCGUUGGAUUAGCUAGUUGGUGGGGUAAAGGCCCACCAAGGCGACGAUCCAUAGCUGGUCUGAGAGGAUGAUCAGCCACACUGGGACUGAGACACGGCCCAGACUCCUACGGGAGGCAGCAGUAGGGAAUCUUGCGCAAUGGGCGAAAGCCUGACGCAGCCAUGCCGCGUGAAUGAUGAAGGUCUUAGGAUUGUAAAAUUCUUUCACCGGGGAAGAUAAUGACGGUACCCGGAGAAGAAGCCCCGGCUAACUUCGU